rnacentral:tRNA from 1 species
UCCUUGGAGGACUAGUGGUUAGGCCACAGUGCUGUCACUGCUGUAGCCCAGGUUCGAUUCCUGGCCAGGGAA